rnacentral:rRNA from 1 species
CUACAGAAUACUAACCGGUCGACGAGGUGAGGGUGGAGACUAGGGGUUCGGGGAGUGCGUGCAGAGGAGAGCGUGGUGUGCGCGUGCGUUGGCGGAGGAGGUGAGGAGCAAAGAGGGCGACUCGCCGCGGCUUAAACCCCACGGUAGCCCUUCUGUUGUCGCUCGCACUCUCCGUCGCUGGUCUAGCCUCAGGCCGUGUCUUCUCUCGAUCGCGCGGGCACGGCAGGCCGCUCCUCCCCCUCGUGGACGCGGGACACCUCAAGUAGGGGCCGCGGGCGUAGGAACAGCAGCUGGAACGGGCGUGCCGUCCAGCGGUGACGACCGGCUCCGGUGGGUCCAGCUGUGGUGGGGCAGGCCGGACGUCGUGUAGGAAGAGCUCCUGUACCCUCCUCCCUGUUUGUAACAGACCCUCCGUCCGUUCCUCCCUCCGGUUAGAAUCAAGUAGAUUAACAAACUAGCCAGAGGACUACCUGCGGUACCUCCAACUACAAUUCACUCGUCCGUCAAACAGUAACAAGCACUUAGCAGACAAAUCAGAAGGAGGAACGAAACAGGCACGAGUCGAAAUAUUAUUCAUGUGAUACCAUACUGAAGGAUACUCUUGAAAUCCAUUAGACACGUUGGCCGCCCGAUUGGGUAUACUAUCCUAACGAACCCCACUGUAUCUCCAAUUAAUUUAAUUAGAAAUCAAGAAGAGAACAGUAUAAAAGUAGUCAGUUGGAGAUUCCGAAAUCCAAGUUCUUUUUACUUACAUUUUGCUGUUCCUUCCAGGACUAGUCUACACAACCGACGACGCCGAUCACCACGAAACCCGUGCGUUCCCCUCGUGCUCACGUGCUGAGUGUUGGAGACGGACGAGUUCUACACGGUGUCGGUGCGGCCGGAGCCGCCGUCCGCGUUGCUGACCAGCGUGAUACAGCUUGAUCUUAAGGGACGUGCCUGCACUAGGUCAAAUAGUAGACGUAACACGGGAGGCAGGACCUGUGAGAGGGACCGUAGAUGCUGUUGUCAGUCAUGAAGAAGCUACAGCGCUCUCCCUACACCUGACGUGCUACCGCUCGUUUUGUUCUUGCUGGACCUUUUGGAGCUGCUACCCACCUACUCGUCGACGAGACAUCACCGUUUAGGAGCACCGACGUUAUGUUACUGUACCUCUCCACGAUCUAUGUCAGGAUUCUAACGAACAAAUAAACGGCUUAAACUAUGUGAAAACUUCUUCGGUCACAUACACAUCACGUAGAACAUUCGUCCAUCUAUCGAGUGACGAUGGGGGGAAACAAAUAUGAAAGUGGAGAUUCCGAAACCGACGGUAAGUAAUUUUUUUAGGAUUCGACAUGUACGUAUACACGAUGGUUAAUCUCGGUGUUGGUCGACUUUUCCGCGAGCAGUUGGACCGUGGCGUGGUCGACGGUGGGUCCGCCGCGCGAUACCCGCGCGGGGUUGUCGAUCAAUCUUAUCAUGAUCAUCGAUAGGUGCAAUCUAGUCCAAUGUGGUGGAGCAAAGAAGGAAGUCUGAUUUCUGGAAUAUACGACGAAAACGGUAAUUAAGUUCCUCUUC